rnacentral:rRNA from 1 species
ACGGGAGGCAGCAGUGGGGAAUAUUGGUCAAUGGACGGAAGUCUGAACCAGCCAAGUCGCGUGAAGGAAGACGGUUCUAUGGAUUGUAAACUUCUUUUUCCUGAGGGUAAAGUGAUCUACGUGUAGAUUAUUGCAAGUAUCAGGUGAAUAAGCAUCGGCUAACUCCGUGCCAGCAGCCGCGGUAAUACGGAUGAUGCGAGCGUUAUCCGGAUUUAUUGGGUUUAAAGGGUGCGUAGGCGGGAUGUUAAGUCAGCGGUGAAAGGUUGCGGCUCAACCGUAAAAUUGCCGUUGAAACUGGCGUUCUUGAGUGUAAACGAGGUAGGCGGAAUGUGACGUGUAGCGGUGAAAUGCUUAGAUAUGUCACAGAACCCCGAUUGCGAAGGCGGCUUACCAGCAUACAACUGACGCUGAGGCACGAAAGCGUGGGUAUCAAACAGGAUUAGAUACCCUGGUA